CUGUUUCCAAAUCUUGGAAAGCGCAAAUAUCACUAAGGCAGAAUGCACUUGACUAAUGUAACUAAAAGUAUCCGCCUGCCCCCGGUCUCCUUCUCUAUCGAGCACACCUUUUUAUUUGCUUUAUAGUAUCGGCUUCGCAGAAUCUUCUGUCCCCACUAUUAUAUAAGCUUUCUUAGGAGAGGAAUCUUGGGGUGGUGUUCAUCAAACUAUCCCUAAAAGUGUAGAACAGUGCCUAGCAUAAGAAGAUUAUCGAUAUCUUUUGAAGGAAUUUAAUAAUUACUAACUACAAGCCAAUAAAAGCGCCCCGCCUCAAGUGACAGCCAGGUUCCGCCUCCCAGAGCCACUUCCGCUCAUGCUCGGGUGUGAGGGCGUCGUGGGAGGAAGUCGUCUACGCAGGCGCUCUGGGGCGUGAGGAUUUCUGGGUAAAAAUGGAUGUCCAAGAUUUGUUUCGCCGGCUUGGCGCUGGGGCCAAAUUUGACGUGAAACGCUUCUCAGCCGACGCAGCUCGAUUUCAGAUAGGAAAAAGGAAAUAUGGCUCUGAUUCUUCAGAGAUGCUGCAGAGUCUGGACUUCUUUGGAAACAAAAAGUCCGUCCCAGGUGAGUGUGGUGCGACACAAACACACCAGGAGCUCCAAAAUGAAGAGAAAAAAGAAGAGAGCCUAACUGAAAGAAAGAGGGGGCCAAACAAGAAAAAGAGAAAGAAAAUGAUUUCAGAAAUUACUUCUCAAGAAGAAGGUAUGACUAUACAGUGGAUGUCAUCUGUGGAAGCAAAGAUUGAAGAUAAAAAAGUUAAAGGAGAAAAUAAACUAACUUCAGGGAAGUUGGAACAUCUCCGAAAGGAAAAGGUUAGAAAAAUGUCUUUAGCCCCAAAAGUGUGUAAUUUUCUGACCUGGUGACUUUUUGUCUGGACAUGAGUAAUUCUUUUGGUAAAGUGAAUAUAGUUUUGUUAAGAUAGAAGAUGGGGGUCUGGGGAUUUAGCUUAGCGGUUCUGCUGCCUGCCUCGGAAGCACAAGGUCCCAAGUUCAAUCCCCAGUACAAAAAAAAAAAAAAGAUGGAAGAUGAAUUACAUUUGUUUAGGUUUUACUUUAAUAAGAAUUUAAAACAGGGGCGGGGAUUUAGCUCAGUGGUUCCGUCGUGUGCCUUGCAAGUGCAAAGACCAAAGUUCGAUCCCUGGUACAAAAAAACCUUAAAGUAGGUAUUUAUAUUGUGGCUAAAAAGUUGAAGGUAUAAUUGAAGGUAUACAUGUAGAGAGAGAGAUGUGUCUGUGUGUAAUAAUUCUUACCCUGUUCAACUUUAAAGAUUAAUAAUAUGUUUAGAAUAAAAGUUUUAAAAUUUCUUACCCUCUUUUGUUAAACAUGAAAUUUGGCUCCCAUUCUAUUCUAUAUUGAGUUCACUGGUUUGGAAGGAUUUCUUCUGUUAGGGAUUAGAAGGUUAGAGUUCUUUAAAAACCUAUUUUAUAGCUUAGGAAUAAGGGGAGUCAAAUAUAAAAUAACAAGUACAUCCUAGUGUGUGCUGUACACUUACAUGUUGCUGAUGGAAAGGUAUAUACAGCUCAUUUCAGAUAUCACUGUGGCCUAAAACGAGAAUUUGAGUGUCUCUGGGCCAAAGAAUGAGGAAGCAAACCGAAUUACUA
rnacentral:lncRNA from 1 species